UACAGAGGUCCCAAGCGUUGUUCGGAUUCACUGGGCGUAAAGGGUGCGUAGGCGGUCGGGUAAGUCUGAUGUGAAAUCUCACAGCUUAACUGUGAAACUGCAUUGGAUACUAUUCGGCUAGAGAGUUGGAGGGGGGACUGGAAUUCUUGGUGUAGCAGUGAAAUGCGUAGAGAUGCGGAGGAACACCGAUGGCGAAGGCAGCCCCCUGGGCUAACACUGACGCUCAGGCACGAAAGCGUGGGGAGCAAACAGG
rnacentral:rRNA from 1 species